rnacentral:lncRNA from 1 species
AAUAUAUAUAAACCUGGAACUCAAAGGAGACAGCAAGUACCUGCGGAGAUGAAAAGAUCCUGCUUGUGGAGUAAACACUUUAACUCUUUCAGGGAGAUGUGAAUUAUUCUGUUUCUCGGCAAUAGAUCAUUUAUUUGGAUAUGGAAUGAAUCUGCCUCUGGCUAGGAAUAUCAACUGCAACACAACUGAACCAACCAAUAUUAGUAGCUGAAAGAAUACUUGUCUCAUAUAAUUUAGCAGUUCUACAAACAUACUUAUACUUUUAAAUUUCACAAUCAACAGCAAUUGAGUAAAUUGAUCAAACGAUGAAUGAUCAGUGGAUGAACAAGGUUCUGCUGACUUCUAUUGAUGAAAUUGAGGCCGUUUCCACCAUGGAGCAACCUGCUGCUUCUACCCUGAUUGAUUUUUGUAUUCGACUGCUCACCAGGGAGUACCUAGUAGAAUCUCUUCAGGAAGAGGACUACAAGGUUCAAACAUAUAACUGGAAUUUAUGGAAAAUAUAUAAAUCUAGAAAUGAAAAAUAAAUUGAAAACUUAAAAAAUUUAAGAAGAGAAUAGACACAGCUAAAGAAAUGAAUGAAACAGACCAAUGAUGAACAACAGGUAAAAAUUUAUAUGAUAUAUGGCACAGUAAAGUGAUCUGCAUUAUGGGUAAUUGAAAUCCCAGAAGAAAUGGUAAGAGGAAUAAAAAACAAAAGUAGAAUUUGAGGAGAUAUAGC